CAAGCGCGGGCUUGCGAAUUAGAUGGUGUGGAGGGAACAGCGUUGUGAAUGGCCAACGGUCCUCAGCGUUUGUUCAGCACAUCCAUGAGCGACACUGACUCACGCUGCUAUCUGGUGCUCACGAGGUGUUUGUCGCGCUAGAAACGGAGCGUCGCUAUUGUGGCUCGAUGGUUGCACACUCCAACAAGGUACUUCCUUUUACUGAGAGAACACGUUUAGUCGGAUGUUAGCACAACCGACACGACUUGAACAGCUGAAGCUCUUCAGCUCAGAGCCUUGACGUUGCUGGACGAGCGACAAUAUAAAUUACAUAAACAUGUAGCUCAUGAUGUGGAAUGACUGCCGUAUCGCAUUGCCAACGCAAACCCAUCCUGUGUCAGUGCAGCCAUCCAGCAACUUCAACUCCCCGGAUUAGAUGCCGCUGCAGCUGAGCACCAUGCCGAUGGAAAGCCAGGAGUUGAUAGCGAAGCAUUCUGGUCUGCACAGUACAAGGCAAAGAACAAUUAUGAAUUAUAACGCAUUGUAAUCCUUCACACACUUCUUUGUAAAAACAAACAAACGGUGCCAUUAUCACAACACUUGAUCAAGCAUCUUGAUGGAGGUAUUUUCCAUUGUGCUGGCACAGAAUCUGCACCAGGAAGACCAUGUAC